CAUAAUUCUACACUUGGUUGAAGAAAACAUAAAUUGAAGGAUCAUAUUACUACACUCGAUUGGUUGCAAUGAAGAAUAUUUCUAUUUUCAUAACUCUCAUGCUUUUUGUCAUUCUUUUCGGUAGCGGAAGUGUAGAUGGAGGUGGGAAAUGUUGUAGGAAUUUCCCAAGUGUUGGGAAAUGCAGACCAAAUGUAGAUGAUAAUCCAGAAAAUGAUGGGAAAUGUUGGCUUUACUGCAUCAAUGACUGUGAGCGAGGAGGUUUCUGCAAACUUGUUGGAAAAACUCAUGUCUGUCAUUGUUAUUGUUGAUCUUACAAAUAUUUAAAGUGUCACAAUUUUAUUCAACUAAAUAUGUAAAAGUGGGGCAGAAUGUUACACAAUAAUGUUUUACCCAUUAAUAAUGUUAAUGCAUUAUAUAAAUUCUUAUCCAA